UACGAAGGGGGCUAGUGUUGUUCGGAAUCACUGGGCGUAAAGGGCGCGUAGGCGGCCGAUCAAGUCGAGGGUGAAAGCCUGUGGCUUAACCACAGAAUUGCCUUCGAUACUGUUUGGCUUGAGACCGGAAGAGGUAAGUGGAACUGCGAGUGUAGAGGUGAAAUUCGUAGAUAUUCGCAAGAACACCAGUGGCGAAGGCGGCUUACUGGUCCGGUUCUGACGCUGAGGUGCGAAAGCGUGGGGAGCAAACAGG
rnacentral:rRNA from 1 species